rnacentral:rRNA from 1 species
GACGAACGCUGGCGGCGUGCCUAAUACAUGCAAGUCGAACGCAUUUUCUUUCACCGUAGCUUGCUACACCGAAAGAAAAUGAGUGGCGAACGGGUGAGUAACACGUGGGUAACCUGCCCAUCAGCGGGGGAUAACACUUGGAAACAGGUGCUAAUACCGCAUAAUUCCAUUUACCGCAUGGUAGAUGGAUGAAAGGCGCUUUUGCGUCACUGAUGGAUGGACCCGCGGUGCAUUAGCUAGUUGGUGGGGUAACGGCCUACCAAGGCUGCGAUGCAUAGCCGACCUGAGAGGGUGAUCGGCCACACUGGGACUGAGACACGGCCCAGACUCCUACGGGGGGCAGCAGUAGGGAAUCUUCGGCAAUGGACGCAAGUCUGGCCGAGCAACGCCGCGUGAGUGAAGAAGGUUUUCGGAUCGUAAAACUCUGUUGUUAGAGAAGAACAAGGAUGAGAGUGGAAAGUUCAUCCCUUGACGGUAUCUAACCAGAAAGCCACGGCUAACUACGUG